UCACUAUUAAAGCGAAAGGGAAACCCCAGCGUUACCUUAUGUUGGGGUUCCUUAAGUGUUCUGUGAUUGGUUUCAAUGCUUUUCUCGUCUGUAAGGUGAACCAUGACAGGUCAGGGUAAUGUCAGGAUAUUUAUAUCGGCAGACAUUUUGUGCUACGAUAGAAAUUAAAAGUGUAUAUUGCCAGAGUCACUCAUAACAGAGCAGACUCCAUUUUGGAUUUCAGGCAAUACAGACACAAAAUUUCUUUCCUUUCUGUAACUAGC